AGAUUGAAUCACCAGACCAUGAUUAUCCGGCUCUCUGUCAUCUCACUGAUAUCAGGUGUCACAGGAUAAAAGAUCCAAGAGGAUUCAAGCUCGAUUUUGUCUUUGCUCCUGAUAAUCCUUUUUUUUUAAAUCAAAUCCUUACUAAAACAUACUAGGUGAUUGGUGACAACUCGUCUGUGGUGUUGAAAGCAAUUGGGUAAUUCUAGUUUCUGUUGUUGAUUAAUAAUGGCUUCUUCUUUUUCUUUUUUUUUGCCUGCUCAAGUUUGGGGUAUGUUGUAGGACGGAAAUUGAAUGGUAUGAUAAGAAAAGCUUGACAGAGAAACUUCUUUUAGUAAGGUUGCACAAAAGGUUGCACAAAGGUUCGCAUGUCGAAGUUAUAGAGAAGUGUCGAAGCUUCUUCAACUUCUUUGAAACAAAAACUUAUGAACAGGGUUUUAUCUUUGAUGAAGAAGCUGUAAGUUUGGGUUUCCUUUGUUGAAUUUAGUUAAUGAUGAUGUUAAAGGCUAGUUUUCUGAAUUAUUUGUUUAAUGGUGUUGAUGCAAAAUUUCGUUUGUAUCAAGUCAACAGGGUUCCGUUGAAAUCCGAGGUGGGGUAGAGGGGUAGGAUCUUGGAUGUGGGGUUUAUCUUCUCUCCAUAAGGUUGGCUGAUCGAUUCAACAUAGUGCUGCCCUAUCAGGCUCCGAUGAUCCAAUCAGAAAGAGAGAAGGAGGGGAAGUUUUUUUUGGUAUUUCCUCAAGUGAUCCAGGGACCUCGAAUGAAGGAAGAGUCCUUCUUUUUAUAGGGCUUGGAGGUGGUUGAGGUACACUGUUGGAGUAUGGGCUUGGCCCCGAAAAUAAGGGUGUCAGCUCCUUUCUUCUGACAUGCCAGUAGCAUGGGUUUGGUCGAGUGGGUGACAGAUGUCACCAUUUUGUGGUCUCCUCUAAUCACAUCAUCUUCAACCCACGUUUAUGGCCAUGCUGGUCAUGGGAUUGUGACAUUUGUCCAAUUAGGUGAGAUUUGCUCCUAGAUUUGAGUAAAUCAAGCCCUUGUGAUUGGUGAGCAAUCUCAUGUUGAGGGAGGCUCUGGCAGUCCAGCUGAGCAGUGCUGGUCGAUCAUGACAUUGCAGGCUUGGGUGAUGAUCGAGCUAUAUGAGUGACCUUCCAGUUCUAAGACUCAUGGCAUUCGAGUAACAAAGGUUGGGAGUUGAGGCUGAGAUUUAUUUAGUUGUAAUGUAUGAUUGAAUAUUUUCGUUCGACAUUUAUUAUUUUGUUGUCGUUGAAAAGUCAGAAUCCCUCGUGGAUACUUUAACUUUUCAACGCAUCUUACGUGUACAAGGUUUGAAAAGUUAUAGACAUUACCCUGUCCAAAUUCCGACACGAACAAAUGGAUGCCAUGUGUCAGGGUGAACUCAAAGGGCGGCUAGCUACCGAUGGAUUAUGUAAUUGGCCUUGCUAUUCGAAACCAAAUCAUUCCUCAUGCAGCAUUGUGGUACAAACUGGAAGAGGAGGAUUUUGUGCAAGAUGAUGAGACAAUCGAUGAUUGUAAGCCGGAGGAGCAUGCUGUCAUUUUGUCAUGCUCUUGAUGGGUGGAUGCACUUGCUUGGUCUACAUGAUUCUGCUUUUGAGAGUUUCGAGUGUUUGGUUUUGGCUCUUUUGAAAAUCUCAAAUGUCAAAGUUCUUGUAACUGUCUUUGUUAAUUGGAAUUUCCU